UGCAAUCUACCUUUCACAGAGGGAUAGCCCAGAGAAAUUUGGAUUAAUACCUCAUAGUAUUAUUGAGUGGCAUCACUUAAUAAUUAAAGUCACAACGGUGAAAGAUGAGCAUGCGUCCCAUUAGCUAGUUGGUAAGGUAACGGCUUACCAAGGCAACGAUGGGUAGGGGUCCUGAGAGGGAGAUCC
rnacentral:rRNA from 1 species